UAGUUCAAUAUGAGCAUAGAAAAGCACGUGGCGGGGAGUCUUUUACUAUUGAGGUAGAUUGCAAACCAAUAGAAAUGAAGCCGAUAUUGCCGCCAAAUAAAGAAAGCUGACGGGCCUAUACGACUAGCUUGUGAGGCUCGACAAGAAAAGGCCGAAGCCAAAAGAAAUGAGGAGCUUUCCAAAAAGAAGGUACUGGCAAGAGAGCACCAGAGAAAAAAGAUUGAAUGCAAGCAAAGAAAGGAGGAGUCCGAACACCGGUUUCAGGAAAGAGCUCGACUCACUAUCAGAUAUAGACAGGCAGACGCAGAAAGGAAUAGGAGUCGCAUGUCGUCUCAAAGAGCCAGCAUAAGCCGGAUGUCAACCAGAGCAAGAAGCUCACUGGCUGUUUCCUCCUCCUCAGAGUCUGUCGACGAGGGCAAUAAGAACGCCCUCAAGAUCGGCAGCUCUCACUAAAUUUUAAACCGGCCGACACUCCCUAUAAAUAGUAGACCCAUACAUUUUGCUAUUGACACGUGAUAGGCAGAUUUUUUCAAAAAGACUACAAAAUUAAACAAUUUAAUCUCCUUUUCCCAGAUCAUUUUUCAUUUUUUAAUGUAAAACUUCUUUUUUCAUUUAAUUAUCAGAUGACAUUUUUUUAUAUAUUCGUUUUCAGCCUUUACUUUUGUGAUACUUCUAUACGAAUCUCAAAUCAUAUUGUUUGUAACAUAUGUCCAUUGCCAAUUUAUUCAUUGCCAAUUUUUUAGUUUGUUUUUACUUUCUUCAUUUUCAAAUUUCUGUUUUUGGAAAACAAAGGUUAAUAUCAUUUCGCCCGUAGUCUUGAUAAAUUCUCAAAUUAUCAAAUUCUGUGAGAUUUCAACACAAUUGUUAUAUUUUCAGCACUAUUUUCAGAGACAAUACAUUUUCGAUAUAUUAUUUUAUCUAAAUAAUUAACUUUACACUUUACAAACUUUAAAAAUUACAUCUUUGUUUUAAAAUCUUUUUAACAACCUGACCGUGAUCUGCCUUGAACAAAAAAAAAUACAUAAAACCACGAAAAUAAAUAUCAAAUCUACAUUUUGACCUUGAUUUAUCAACGUCAAGUAUGAUGAUACUUACCCAAAAAAUCUCAUCUCAUUUUAUCAUCCAAUCAUUCAUGCAUUCAUCUAAAAAACCCAAGAAACAAGGCAUUGGUCUUACCGUUUGAAAAAACUCUAAACUUUUAAAAAUGCAUUUCUUUUCAUACCAUAUGUGUACAUUUCAAUCACUAAUUUGUUAUAUUUUUUUAAGUUUCAUUCAUUUUUCUUUUUAAAAUCUGGCUAGUCAGAAAGCGCAUCUAGAUCAUUAAGUAUAUUUUUGGAUAUUCUCAUCUUGGCAACAAGGAAAUAUUUCCGGCUUACACUAUACAUCCUAUCUUAACUGUUUUUUAUACAUACAUUAAAAUUUAAAUUUACACUUUUUUGAUUAUUCAUUAUAAUUAUGUUAACAACUGGACCAUGAUGAAUAUCAUCUGCCUUGAACAAAAAAAUACAUAAAACCACGAAAACAAGUAUCAAAUCUACACACUGACCUUGAUUUGUCAACGUCAAGUAUGAUGAUACUUACCCAAAAAAUCUCAUCUCAUUUUAUCAUCCAAUCAUUCAUGUAUUCAUCACCCCCCGCCCCCAAAAACCCCCAAAAAAACAAGGCAUUGGUCACUUACUUACAGUUAUAAAAAAAACUUUAAAUUUUUAAAGAUACAUUUCUUAACAUACCCCUCAUGGACAGUACAAUCCCUGUUUUUUAUUCUAAGUUUCUUUUAUUUUCAUUUUUAAAAUCUGGCUAGUAAGUAAACUUAAAUCAUUAAGUUUAUUUUUGGACAUAAUCAUCUGAGCUGAGCAACA